rnacentral:rRNA from 1 species
ACGAAGGGUGCAAGCGUUAAUCGUAAUUACUGGGCGUAAAGCGCGCGUAGGUGGUUCAGCAAGUUGGAUGUGAAAGCCCCGGGCUCAACCUGGGAACUGCAUCCAAAACUACUGAGCUAGAGUACGGUAGAGGGUGGUGGAAUUUCCUGUGUAGCGGUGAAAUGCGUAGAUAUCAGGAAGAACACCCGUGGCGAAAGCGGCUCUCUGGAACGGUACUGACGCUGAGACGCGAAAGCGUGGGGAGCGAACAGGA